AACCAUGGAAAAGAAAGGAAAUAAGAGCUAAAAUUGGUGUAAAUACACUGAUAGAUAAUAUGCUUUCAUUGCCUGAAAGAAAUUGGGAUCCAUCUGUAAAAAAUCUACAGUAUUAAAAAAACAAACCCUAACUUUACGAUGAAGCUUUCCCCCUCACAAAUUUCAGAUUAUACCAUUUUCUCAGUUUUCUUCUCUGUAACAUCCAUGGCCCUGAGUAUUAUGCCUUGCAUUUGGCAUUGAGAGGUGAGCAUCAAGUUCAAACCCUGACUAUGUUCCAUUGCUUUACGAUCAGUGAGCAACUAAAUCAAAAAGUAAAUUCUUCUGCAGAAAAGUUAAAAGGAUCGAACCCUAGCCUGGAAUCCUCCCUUUCCACUUUGUUUUUUACUGUAUAUUCAAGGCAGUUACAGCACAGGAAAGAAGCAUCGAUCCGUGGAUUUCUUACUUUCUAUUGAAGACCCUAAGACCAGAGAGCAACUAAAUCAAAAAGUAAAUUCUUCUGCAGGAAAGUUAAAAGGAUCGAACCCUAGCCUGGAAGCCGCCCUUUCCACUUUGUUUUUUACUGUAAAUUCAAGGCAGUUACAGCACAGGAAAGCAGCAUCGAUCCAUGGAUUUCUUACUUUCUAUUGAAGACCCUAAGAUCAGAGAGCUACUGAACGAGACUGUUACUGACCACAUCCAAUUUCAAAACCCUCAGUGGAAAGGGGGAAUAAACACUAAAAAGGCCAUGAAAUUACGGAAUUUGAAAUGACUAUUUUAUUCAGGGAUCUGAGUGUUCUUCAGAUGAAAAAGAGGUGCGAGGAGAGGUUUCAGGACGUGCGCCUCCACCUCCAUUAGGGCUUCCACCACUUCCAUUAUUUGAGGCCGUUGGGAUCAGAGAGUUGACAAUGGAAGCGAAGAUCUUUGCCUUGAUUUGGCCUCUCCUCGGUGGAGGGUUUCUCCUAAAUUUUGCUUUACUAUCCUCUACAGAUUGAAGUGUCAUUUCUAGGAAUAUUUGGGUAAAAAAACUUCACACAGAGAGACUUAAGAGUGAGAGAAACAGAGAGUUGCAGACGAAUGAUAGAUAGAGUUUGUGUGAGAGAGAGAGAGUUGCAGAGGAAUGAGAGAGUUCAGGAGGAGAGAGUCGCAGAGAAAUAAUAGUUUUGAAAGAGAGAGAGCGCGUUGCAGAAGAGCGAAAGUGAGUCUUGCUGAGGAGUGAGGGAAUUUUGCAGAGACAGAGAGGGACUUGCAGAAAGGGAGAAUUAUGCAGAGAGAAGUUUGAGCGGAAAGAUGAGGUUUUAGAGAGAGAGAGAGAGAGAGAGGCUUUGCAGUUGGGAGGGUGAGGAUUUUGGAGAGAGAGAGUGAGAGUACGUAAGGCUGGUUUAACUGGAGGAGUGCAAGGAAUGGAAGUAUUUAUAGGGAUUGGGAGUUUGAGACUCA
rnacentral:lncRNA from 1 species